UGAGAGUAAUUGGGUAAAAAUGGGUGCAAAAAUAACUUCGUAAGUUGCAUGAUGUAAAUCGGAGCAAAGUUUGUGAAUGGGUUUUAUAACUGAAUCAAGAAUAGUUUUGUCUUCUGUAAAUAAAAUAUAUCAUUGCAAAAAAGUUCGAGAAGCAAUUUUUUAUAUUGAUUAAAAGGUCCGGCCGUAUGACUUAAUAAUUUAUUAUUAGAUUCGAUUAUAUCGAUUACUAAGGAUUUUUCAAACUGGUGCACUUGUCCCAAGAAUUCUCCUAUAAAAUACAAAUACAAAUAAAAAAUAAAUAAAAAAAAAAAAAAAAAAAGAAAAAAGAAAAGAAAAAAAGACCAUGUAAGACCAUUGUAAUGAUAAUUAUUUGAAAAAUACCUAUACUUUGCAUUAAGAUUGUAAGGCAAAGCAGUGGUAAACAUACAUUUAACGCUUUAAGUAAACCUGGAUAGCCGCAGCCAUCGGUAAACAAUUUACAACGUUUAUUUGCUUCGUGAGCAUAUCCGAUGACUCUUGGAAUGCUAAGUGAUAGA